GUAGUCCACGCUGUAAACGAUGGAUACUAGCUGUUUGGAGCAAUCUGAGUGGCUAAGCGAAAGUGAUAAGUAUCCCACCUGGGGAGUACGCACGCAAGUGUGAAACUCAAAGGAAUUGACGGGGGCCCGCACAAGCGGUGGAGCAUGUGGUUUAAUUCGAUGAUACGCGAGGAACCUUACCAAGGUUUAAAUGGAGACUGACAGGUGUAGAGAUACGCCCUUCUUCGGACAGUUUUCAAGGUGCUGCAUGGUUGUCGUCAGCUCGUGCCGUGAGGUGUCAGGUUAAGUCCUAUAACGAGCGCAACCCCUGCCAUUAGUUGCUAACGAGUCAAGUCGAGCCCUCUAGUGGGACUGCCAGUGAUAUACUGGA
rnacentral:rRNA from 1 species